UGCUUGUUAAUUUAGGUCCGCAAAUGGAUAAAUGCAAGUAAGACCAGAUGUUUUAUUAUUUAUUUAAAAUGGUUCCCUGCUCCCGUAUGGGAGUGAAAAAAUUCUGGUAUGUUCCUAGCGACGUAGGGCUGCUUGUUAAUUUAGGUCCACCGAUGGAUAAAUGCAAGUGACAGUGAAUGGUCCCUGCAUCGCCGUGCCUGUGUCAUCGCCUCCGACCCGCCGCCUGCCACGUAUCCAAGGUUGAGGGUUUCCAGCGCUUCGAUCCAUUAGACCUAUCAGUCCUGCGUACUGGAGCCCAAAUACUCAACAGCCGAGAGUGGUGGACCCCGCUGUUUUGCUGAUGAUUCCAUUGAAAGAUUAAACACUAAAAGACUCAAACCAAUAUCAAAGACUUUAAAAUAUAAGGCGCUCAAUUGCCCGGUUUCCAGAGCUAUUUUUUUCCCUAAAUUGAUAAAGAAAGAUAUGAAUUAAAGGGUUUUAUCUCUGGUUUUCCUCCGGGCCUGUCUGUAACGUGUUCUUUUAUUAACGUGCUUCGCUUUGUAUAAAUGUUGCAAAUAUAAUGUAGAGUGAAUGUCUCCAACGUGGUAAAUGAAAAAAAAA